GUCAUAGUGUGAAUGGUGGAGCCAGGAUUUAUGCUCAGGCAGUGUAACUUCAUAGCCUUUGGUCUUAGCCACAAUGCUACUCUGCUUCCCAAUAAAUAUUUAGUCAAAGUUUAUUCAUCAGUAUAGAAUGAUGACAUUAUUUAUUAUUUAUUGACUGCAUAAACCCAAAUUAUCAAACACUUUUUCAACAUUCUCUCAAAGAAGUAAAUUCAAUAUAUCUAACUUGAAAUUUAGGAGCAUUAAAAAAUUAGGAAAACUAUUUUAUAGAACCAGAGUUUUUCAUGGGGACAGGUGCUAGGGUUCUCUGCUCCAGAAUUCUGAUGCUUAAAAUGUUGCAUAUUUGUUUUAGAUGGAAAAAGAGGGUGCUGGCAGAAGGAUCCCUGGUUGGGCAGCGACAUGCCAGUGUGUCCAGAGGAGUUCCCUGCCUGCCAGGAAUCUCAGCAGACACAGUGAUGUGAAGGAGCAAGACAAAAUGCCAGCAGAGACAGGGUUUCACCCUGUUAGCCAGGAUGGUCUCGAUCUCCUGACCUCAUGAUCCAUCCGCCUCGGCCCCCC
rnacentral:lncRNA from 1 species